UUGUUGGUCAUACAAACCUUCAGGCCUGAUCCUCUUCUCUCUAUGGGGAGUAAUUUUGUAGCCACAGUGAUGGGAAGGGACUUUGUGUCAGCUGCAGAGCAAGAGCUAGACCUUGCGAAAAUUGUUAACGAUGAGGUUAAGAGUAAUACUCCAGUGCUAUUGUGCUCGGUUCCUGGUUAUGAUGCUUGCGGUCGUGUUAAUGAUUUAUCAGCAUCACAGAACAAGCAGUGUACAUCAAUUGCUAUUGGUUCAACUGAAGGAUUUAAUCUUGCAGAGAAAGCAAUCUCAUCAGCUUCAAAGACUGAAGAUGGGUCUUAUUGAAGAAUGUCCAUUUGGCUACCCAGCGGUUAGUGAUUAUUUUGAAUGUUGUUGUUGCAACUCAAUCCAUUCUCAAGACAAAUGUUAUCAAAUUGUUUUUAAAUUCCUGACAUUGAAAGUGAAAGUAUAUGAAUAGUCAAUCCUAGGGAAUACCAUUACCAACAGGAGCACAAGUGUGAUUGUCUGUAUCCUGAACCUUGUGAUAAUUAUUUCUAUCCAAGAUGACUAUGAGAAGUUACUAACUCGUGAUAUUAAUGUCCAGUUCCUUCAAGUACUGGCCCCAGGUGUUGUUCAUCCUAAUUGCCCCUCUAACAAGACUGGUAGUGCCACUAAUUUGUAUCCUUCAGCUAGUACUCCUUCUGGUGACAAAUCACUUGCUGAUGGGGUGGGCAUUAAUAAGAGAUUAAAAAUGGAGGAUUUGGGACUUGUCCUGGUAGACGGUGGA